AGUAACACGUGGAUAACCUACCUAUAAGACUGGGAUAACUUCGGGAAACCGGAGCUAAUACCGGAUAAUAUAUUGAACCGCAUGGUUCAAUAGUGAAAGACGGUUUUGCUGUCACUUAUAGAUGGAUCCGCGCCGCAUUAGCUAGUUGGUAAGGUAACGGCUUACCAAGGCAACGAUGCGUAGCCGACCUGAGAGGGUGAUCGGCCACACUGGAACUGAGACACUGUCCAG
rnacentral:rRNA from 1 species